rnacentral:lncRNA from 1 species
AGUAAGCAGCAAUCAGUUGUCUCUCGUCUUCUGCAAUCUGAGUAUCGUGCCAUGGCUCAAGGAACAAGUGGAAAUUUUUGGCUUCGGCUCUUCUAACUGAGUUGGGUUUCUCAGUGACAGACUCAUCUUACCUGUUUUGUGACAAUAAGUAGCUAUUAUGGUAUCUUCUGACUCAGUUUCGUCAUGAGAGAAUACAAGCACAUUGAGUUUGGAUAUUCACUUAUUCGAUAAAAAGUCGUUCACCUGGCUUUGUUCCAUCAUCGCUCAGACUGCUGAAGUUCACUAAAUCUAUUGGGCCCUCAUUUUGAAGUCAUCUCUUGUCAACUGGGCUCUCGAUAUUUCCUCAUCUUGGAGGGGGAGUGUUGGAAUUAGAAGAUUUUUCCUAAUUCAAUUAGGAAACUUUCUUAAUCUAUUCAUCUAUAAAUAGGUCAUGUUGACCUUAGUUUAUUUUCUCUUUAUUUCCUUAUUCAAUUUCCUAAUUUAGUGAUAAGUUGUUAUUAAUAUUGAGUAGAGAUGGUAAGAAAAAAUGUAAGCACUUUCUAAAUUCUCUUGGUAUCAGAGCAAGAAAAAAAAAAAUUCUAGCCUCCAAACUGCCGUAAAAGCAGCCCAAACCCUACAGCCACCCCGGCAGCCCACGCAUAUACAACCACCACCAGCCAGCCCUGCCCCUGCACCAGCAGCCCUGCCCAUGUGCCCGUGCAGCCAAAGCACAGCACUGUGCAGCACUGUGCCAUGUGUAGUCCAGAAAGCAACCACGCAGCCCCACCACCGCAAGCCCGCCCUGCACCGUGCAGCCAAGAACAGCACUGUGCAGCCUGUGCCGUGUGUAGUCCCAGAAAGGCAACCACACAGCCCCACCACCUGCCGUUCCCUGCUUGGAACCACGCAGACCCAAGAGCCACGCAAGCCCUCGCCUCUGCACAGUAACAGCCCCUGCAGUUCUACCCCAUUCCAGCCUGUGCAGCCCCGUCCACACGCCAGCUAGCCUGUACGUCCAGGCCUACACGCCCAGUCCAGCCAGGACAAGCCUGGUUGCAAACCCCCCCAAAAGGCCGUGCAGUUCUAAGCCAGCCCAGUCCAGACAACCAGCCUGUGCAGCCAAAGCCAAGGCCUGUUGCCAGCCCAUCCAGGCAGCCACGGCAGCCCACACCAGCAAGCAGACCCCUUCUCCUGACAUCGCAGCCCAGUCCCAGCCGCCCACAGCCACGCAGCCAGGCCCAGCCCCUGCAUUGCAGUCUUCUGCCACCGCCGGCACUAGGUUUAUGAUGCUAUUCUAAAAAAAAAAAAAAGAUACCCAGGUGUGAUUCAAUUACGAUUGCGGUUUGGAUUGUUGCGGUGGGAUGGCUACUCACUCAAACUUGACAGUUACCCCAGCCAUAUAGUUCCGGUUCGGAGACCAGUUCCAGUUUCUCUUUCUCAUUCUCAAACAGAUUCAACGUGUUACGAGCGUGUUGUUGAAGGGAAAGAACUUUCAUGCUUGGUAUCGUCGUUUCAAGCUUUACCUUGGUGGAAACGCAAGACCCGGGGAUUCUGGAAAGGAACCAAACCCUGCUGAUGAAUCUGAUCCCAAGUUUGAUGAAUGGGUUUCAGUAAUUGGGGUAUUAUCUGGGCUGGUGUUCAACUCGAUGGAGGAUCGAGUCUAUCACAUGUUUAUUGUACAAUGAUACUGUCCAUGGGUUUAAUGGAACUGCAUUGACCCAGAUGUAUGCCCAUACCCGCAAUGAGUCCCGGAUUUUGAACUAUACGAGAGAUCUCUCAUUCUCUCAACUUCUUAGGACUUCUAUUGCCGAUUAUUUUGGAAUCUUCAAAGACUAGAUGGGAGGAAUUAGAUCAAUACGAGCCACUCAGUGAUUUUCCAGGAGGAGCAGUUGAGUCCAACGCCUGGCUGUUUUUAUAACGUCGACAUACAUAUCAGUUUUGAUGUUUUGAAACCUGAGUUCGAGAUCUUACGCACUCAGAUUUUUUAAACACAUCGACCACCACCUGCCUUCCCUUUAUGAGGCGUUUGCUAUAGCGCGGAUGGUGAUCAGCGGAGGCGGCGUCUUUUACCAUCUCAUUCACUACCCGAGUCCGUGAUAUAUUGUUCUAGACCAGAUGGCAUUUGCUGCUUUCAGGGGACUCACUAGUACUUGUCAGCAUGUUGUCACAAGCCCGGUCACCUCAUUGAUAGUUGUUGGGUUCUCAUCCUGAGAUUGCGCAUGCGUUUUCUCGACCUCGGGAGGUGGCGGUGGGGAGCGGUACGUAGUGGGGGGCCGAGGUCGAGGCACUUCCGAAUGCGUAUUGACUGAAGUGGGAACCCCAUACCUGCUAUUUACCUGACUUCAAAAACUCAGCUGCCAGAUUGCUCAGCUGCAGUCCACACGGGGAUUAGCUAUCUGCCUCGACACCAGUCUCGGCCCCACAGCCGCUAUAGUUGCAGAGACUACCCCACCGAAUCUUCAUUGGAUUAAGUCAGGUCACCCCACUUGGAUUUUGGAUUCAGGAGCAAAAAGAUCAUUGUAUGACAGGUGAGCUUACUACCUUACCUCACCUGUUACUUCUGUUCCUCAAUCAGUGUGUAUGCUGAGGAUCAUCCAUUCCCAUUCGUAGUGUCUAGGGAGUUGCUCAGUUUACUCCUCGUACUAAAUACCCUUCAUCUGUAUAUAUGUACCUCAUUUGCAUACUCUUCAUUUCUGUUAUCGUCUGCAACAAGAUCUUAAUGUCUGUUGUUUUAUUACCAUAAUAAUUGCUUCUUGCAGCGCCUGACUUCGAAGAAGAUUAUGGCAAGGGGUAUGAGCGGGAUGUGGACUAUAAUUACAUUGGGGCUCCUUUACAAUCUAGUACGGUGUCUCUAGCAGUUCAUGUUUUCUCCCUCCAGUGUUAGAUCACUGUUUUAAGUUCGUCUGGUUAUUUUUUAAGUCGUCUGUUAUUUUCGGGCCACACUCUGAGAUUUGUAAGCCUGCUCGUAGAGCAUGCUAACUUUUCAAUAUUAUGUUGGUGUUUUCCCUCGUUCAAUAAGAAUGUCAAAAAUUUAAUUUUAAAUGUCGACUGUGUUAGUGCGUUAUUCUAAGCAUACUUGGGGUCACUCUUAUAUCCUCGUAUGCAUCGUUCAGCGCCUAGUGCCUUUGACCCUUAUUCAUUAGAUGUAUGGGGACCAGGGUUUCUCCAGUUACUGCACUCUACUCAACACCUAGCUACUAUGUCACCUAUAGAUGAGUACACGCGUUGUACUUGGUUCUACCUUAUGCGUCAUAAAUCUGAGGUCUUUUCUCACUGUAAUCACUCCUACAAAUGAUCAAAACCAAUAUAAACAAUGUUGUGCGUAACAUCAGGUACGAUAAUGGUCGAGGAGUAUACUCACGAAUGAGUUCGUGCGGUGAACUUAAUAAAAGUGGUAUACUCAAAAAACUUACAGUCCUUACACACCUGAGCAGACAUGUGGGUAGAUGAGCGUAAAAAUCGCAUAUGUGUCAUGUUGAGUUCAGUGUCUCUUACGGGGUAUGAGGGUUUACCUAAGUAUUUUUGGGCAACAUCGGCAGUUUCUCACUGCUACCCCUUACCUUAGAAAUCGGACUCCCAGUCGGGUAUUACAAGGCAAGCUCUGCUCCAUGUCCUGCUCAGCCUGUGAGACCCUAUUUCCUAUUAUCCCCAGUGUCUUUGGGGCAACUGUUUUUUGCUUCAAAAAUCGGAGCCCCACCCGCUACCUAAGCUAGUGAUAGUGAGAAGGCGCGCUACGCCAGUACGUUGUAUCUUCCGCGUGUGUAUCCCGAUGUAUCCAAGGGGUAUAGGUGUUUGGAUCCUGCUAACAGUUCGUCAAUGCACAUCACUCGUUUUAGAUGUCACGGUUUUGGAAAAUGUUCCCUUUUUUCUCACUUUGACCUCCUCUCCGAGGUUCGGUUCUAGAGAUGCUUUCGACAGAUGGACCCCAUAUCUCUCACCGGCCUGCUGUCAUGAUUCACGUAGACUUGAGCCAUACUUAUAACUCCAUCACCUACUGGCUCCAGCCAGCCCCGAUCGUAACUCUCAGGAUAACCCCAGGUACACGUGCUCCGACUCCCUUGCCAGUGUGUCUAUGUGCCGUCCACGGAGGUCAAGGUUGUCUCCUUACUUGUUAGUUGUAAUGAUAUUCAGACCACACCUCGGCGCUUUACUCUCUCUCCAAAGCUAUCGCCAAACGUGUUCGGCGAUCCCCCUCCCGUUUUCUUCUUUUCAAUAGUACUAAUAUACCUAUUGCCCACAAUAAAAUUUGUUCUUAAUCACGGCUUUCAGGAUUCGCUAUUAGAUCUCUUCUUAGUGUCCAGGUGUGUGAUUCGAAUUUCCAAUUCCACUCGCUACAGGUCUAUGAGCGCUCUUCCAAAAUCCUAUUGUGGUGUAUCGGCCCAUGAAGGCAGGAGAUGUGGAGGGCUCUUCAGCUAAAUCGACUUAGAGGCAUCUCGUUGCCGUAUGUUCUUUUUGUUAUUUUAUUUUUUUUAUUUUUUUUUUUGUUAUUUUACCAGAAAGGAGGAAGCGCACUGUUGGGUGUAAAAGGUGUGUUCAGUUGUCAAGUACGUAUAUUGGCAGAUGGCUCAGUUAUCGAUAUAAGGGAUCGUAUUGUGCUAAGGGUUUUAUCAGAUUUCUUGGUAAGGAUUUGGUAGGCUACUUUUGCCCCAAGUUGCGCCGACAAGAAUUGUAAAUACUCAUUAGUGCUUUUGAUUUCGCAUGCUGCUUGUCACCGAUGGCCCCUUCCCAAUGGAUGUCAAGACUCUUUCUUAAUGGUGAUCUCUCGAGCAGACUAUAUAUAUGGGCAUCCAACCUCCAGGUUUUCGGGGUCAGAGUGAGCGGGGACACCGUAUUAGGGGGGAUAUGUUUGCGCCUCCGAAAACCUAGUCUAUGCGCCUUACGCAAGUCUCCCUAGGGCUGUUCCACGCCUUAAGUGAGGUGUCUUGUCAUGGUUUCUAUGCAGUGCCACUCAGAUCAUACUUGCUUAUUCGUCGUCAAUAUCAGGAGUCGGUGCAUAUAUUAAUCUCAGUUAUGUUGAUGGGACAUUUUUCACGGGGAGACAGAUAGUGGCAUAGUUUCAAGUGAAAUGUGGGCUAAGAAAUCUUUGGACAUUAAGGAUUCGGUCCUCUUAUCGUUACUUCCUGGACUGACACGGGUUGCUCAGGUAUCGUCAUGGUAAUCUCUCUCCAGCGGAAGUACUCUCUUGAUCUCUUCAGAGAUGACGGGGCAUGCUUGGAUGAGACCUGGCAUCUACGCCUUAUGGUACCAAAAUUUGAAGAUAUCAGCCUGAGUUAGGGGAAUUGAUUGCCAGAUCCAUCAUUAUCAGCGGACUUGUGGGAGCCUCAUUUUUGCUUGACGAAUCACAGACACUGAUCUCACAUGGCAUGAGUGUCAAUAUGUGAGCCAGUCUAUGCACUCGCGCGGUACAUCUCACCUGAGUUGAUGUACCACAUCUCCAGGUACUCGAAAGUCGUGUCAACGGUCGUGGGGAUUGUUCUAAUAGUCGGAGUCCAGUCAAAGUCGGUGCCUCGAUCAUGCUUUACAGCUGCUGAUUUUGCGGGUCUAAGAGUGAAUAGACGAUCCACUUCUGGGUAGUUGGUACAUUCCAUGGUGCAUCUAUAUCUGGAGAAGUAAAGAAGCAAGCAGUUGUCUGCGAUCUUCUGCAGAAGCUGAGUAUCGGCCAUGGCUCAAGGAACAGUGAAAGGUAGAGUGGCUCGGUCUCUUCUAACUUGAGGUGGGUUUCUCAGUGACAACUCGCAUUCUUACCUGUAGUUGUGACAAAUAAAGUCAGCUCAUUAUGUUAUCUGGCAGAAUGUCAGUUCUUCAUGAGAGAAACAAAGCACAUGAAGUUGAUAUGUCAUUCAAUUCAGAGAGAAAAGUGCGUUACCUGGCUUUGUUCCAUCAUCUGCUCCGACUCCUGCCUGACAUGUUCACUACAGAUCUAGUUGGUCCCUCAUUGUCUGAAGUCAUCUGUGUCAAGCUGGGGGCUAGUCGAUAUUUUCGCCUCGAGGCGUUGGGGGGAGUGUGUUGGCAUUAAUUAGAAGAUUAUUUCCUAAUUCAAUGAGGAAACUUUCUUAAUCCUAUUCAUCUUUAAUAGGUCAUGUGACCUUAGUUAUUUUCUCUUUAUUUCCUUAUUAUUUCCUAAUUUAGGUUAUAAGUUGUAUUAUAUAUUGAGUAGAGAUGGAAGAAAAAAUUUAAGCCUUUAUAAAUUCUGUGGACCAUAUAGCAUCCUGGGACACAGGAGCAAAAAAUAGUAAGAAAAAAAAUCAGGUAAGAAAUUAGAGGGUUGCAUUGAGCAAGAAACUUACAGCAUUCCAAUCCCAUAUCGACCAAAUGUCUCAAAACCACGACAAACACAUCUACAAUAUACUCUAGGAAAAAGGAAUAGUCCUUAACUCCUGCAAAAUAUAACACACGACAAAUUAAUCAAAUACAAAGUUGCAUGAAAGCUAUCUAUGUCAAAAUUAAAACAUUUCAUUUUUAAUAAAACCAUGAAGGUUCAGUUGCACAAACAAGUAAAGUUCUCUACCUACACUGUCUUUCUUGCCAAAAAAGUAUUUGGGGCCUCCCAUUAAAUGCACAAGCAUUACGUCCUAAGGAAACAAACAUCACAUAGAUUCCAUUGACGUUAUUAAAUCCUUCACAAACAUAAACAGUGAAGACAAAAAAGGAUAAUAUUCUUAUAAUCCAUAAUUUCAAGAAGGGUCCUCAAGAAAUCACAAACUUCCACCAUUCAUAAUUGCUUGUUCUGCGCCAUGAAUAGGAGCACUUGUUGCACAAGCUCAUAUUGAAAUUCGCUUCUGCAAGGAAUAACCUGCGAUAAGUAAACCAUAUCACCUCAAUUUCCAAAAUCUUUCUAAAAUCUUCAACUAUCUUACCAAUCAAACCUCAAAAUUACAUUAACAGUGGCGUAUUCUCACCAAAUGGAAUAACAUAAACUUUCUAAAAUCUGCAACAACGUUACCAAUCAAACCUCAAAAAUUACAUUGACAAGGGCGAUGGUGUUUUUUUCUAAAAUAUACGACCCACAAACUAUAUCUCCCCAAAUUGAAAUUAUUUUCUAAAAAUCUUCAACAGUGUUAGUGAUAAGAAUUACAUUGACAGAAUUUAACAUUGAUUUGCUCGCAUCUUAACAAAGAAAAGUCCCCGCGAAAGAAAGCCGGAACGAAGAUCGUGUCGAAGAAGAAACCCUAACCGUCGAAGACGUUAAAGAAGUGUGAAUGGCAAAUUUCAAUAGUGUUGUUUUCGAGUCGUGGGGGGGGUGUGUCGGAUCUGUAGUCUGAUCGCAGCGGCGAAUCGCUGGAACGAAGGUUGAGAGGAUCGAGUUCUCUCGAGUAGAGAAGCCAACAAGAGAGAGGAGAGAGAGUUCUAAACUGCGGUAUUUUUAUUGGCCUAUUGGGUGUGCUGCUGCCGUG